GAUACCCCACGAUUAACCCAACCCCGGCUAGCCUAACAGUCUAUAUACCGCCGUCGCCAGCUCACCUUAUGAAAGAAACAAAGUGAACCAAAUAGCCACACGCUAACACGACAGGUCGAGGUGUAACUAAUGCCGUGGUAAAGAUGGGCUACAUUUUCUAACACAGAAUAUACGAAUAGAGUGUGAAACCACAAACUGAAGGUGGAUUUAGCAGUAAGAUAGGAAUAAAACACCUAACCGAAACAAACGCAAUGAAGUGCGUACACACCGCCCGUCAUCCCUGCCACAACAAUAAACAACAAAAUAUACCAACACAACACAUAAAACAGGGCAAGUCGUAACA
rnacentral:rRNA from 1 species